GGGGAAGAGCCAGCCCCACGCCGGUCCGCCUCCCGCCCGCGGCCCGGCCUCCCUCCCGCUCGCUGCUUGGCUCGGCGCUCCUUCGCCCCGAGUUCUCCAUCCCCUGGAUCCCGGGCUCGCGGGGGCGCGGAGAAGAGGACCAAGGAAAGAUGCGUGGAGAGGUUUGGAAGCUCUAGGAGAAGAAAGAUGUUGGGAACAAAUAACUGCCUGCACCUUCUCUCCUGCCCAGAGGAAAGAGCCAGGAAAUAGGAAGAUUUCCAAGCCAAAGUCUGCAACUCAUCCAUGGGGCUGCAGGAUCAUGCAUAUUGCCGACUGAACUCAGGACCACUGAAGUCUCCCAUGACCCACAAAUGCCUUGAACUAAACAUACUGCAGGGAUGCUGACAUCUAUAAACUUAUGAGUCCGAUGAGGUCUCCACUGAUAUUAAACCUCUUGAAGCCUU